rnacentral:lncRNA from 1 species
AAAACCCUAAAAUUGAUUUGUUGAAACCACUCCUCCUCCUCCUCAUCUCACGCGGCCGCCACCUCCUCUCACGCCGCCGCCACCUCCUCCUCUUCUCCUCCUCUCACGCCGCCGCCUCCUCCUCUUCUCCUCCUCUCACGCCGCCGCCUCCUCUUCUCCUCCUCUCACGCCGCCGCCGCCUCUUCUCCUCUCACCUCCUCCUAAUUUCUAUGGCGGAUAAUCAAUUUACGUCAACU